rnacentral:lncRNA from 1 species
AUCCUCUUGAGCUUGCGCAGAAUAGUCUACACGAGAGUUCUUUUGGCCCACAUUGCAUACAAUAAACUCCUGAUGCCUCACACACCUAUGUUGAUCUUGAUCUCCCGCAUGCGCAGAACACUGAAUGAUAGAUGCUGGUCGGAAAUUUUACAAGUGUAGUGGUUGUUGUGUUCUUCACCCAACUGUAGAACUUGACGUAGGUGAGCAAGCACUAAGCUUGUGGUUCUCUUAUAGACAUGUCAUUUGUUAUGGUUAGCUACAAGACCAUUAAAUCCGGUCACCAAAAAAAUGUCCAUUAGAUCUGUUGGACUAGUUUUCACAAAAAAGAAAGAUAUGUUGGACUUGAUGCACUAAACAAUAAAACACUUUUGGUUGGUGAAACAUUUUCUCUAUCCUGAUGUUUCUUCUAACCAAGGACACAUGCCUGGUGCAAAAUCAAAUUUAUAUCAAACCUAAACAUACACACACCUCCAUAUAUUAUGGUGAUAGAACAUAUGUUGUGGCCUAUUUGCAUUCCCAAUCAUAGAAAAUCCAUUCUACAUUGUACAAUCAGGUCCAGUUGAUGCUCAAAUAUUCGGUUGACAUGUAGUCAAGGAUUUACAGGCAAACGCGUGAGUGAGGUCCAUGGCCGUCUGCAUAGCAUUUAUAUAUUAGCGUGCUACAAAAAAAACGAAGCACGUGCCUCUAUAAAAACUAUAAACUACAAAUAAAAUCCUUGGAUAGCUGAAGAACCAGGGGAGGGGUCUGUGGUGGGUUCGGUCCCUCUGCUGCU